rnacentral:snoRNA from 1 species
AAGCUAUGAUUAGGACAUCUUUUUCAACAUAGACUUGUAUUGCUCCCAUGUUUCACAGAGAGUUUCAUCUGUUCCUUGAAAAAACAAUGUAAUAGUUGUCUUGACCUC